rnacentral:rRNA from 1 species
AACAGGAUUAGAUACCCUGGUAGUCCACGCCGUAAACGAUGAGUGCUAAGUGUUAGGGGGUUUCCGCCCCUUUAGUGCUGCAGCUAACGCAUUAAGCACUCCGCCUGGGGAGUACGGCCGCAAGGCUGAAACUCAAAGGAAUUGACGGGGGCCCGCACAAGCGGUGGAGCAUGUGGUUUAAUUCGAAGCAACGCGAAGAACCUUACCAGGUCUUGACAUCCCGCUGACCGCCUAGGAGACUAGGCUUUCCCUUCGGGGACAGCGGUGACAGGUGGUGCAUGGUUGUCGUCAGCUCGUGUCGUGAGAUGUUGGGUUAAGUCCCGCAACGAGCGCAACCCUUGAUCUUAGUUGCCAGCAUUCAGUUGGGCACUCUAAGGUGACUGCCGGUGACAAACCGGAGGAAGGUGGGGAUGACGUCAAAUCAUCAUGCCCCUUAUGACCUGGGCUACACACGUGCUACAAUGGACGGUACAAAGGGCUGCAAACCCGCGAGGGGGAGCCAAUCCCAGAAAACCGUUCUCAGUUCGGAUUGCAGGCUGCAACUCGCCUGCAUGAAGCCGGAAUCGCUAGUAAUCGUGGAUCAGCAUGCCACGGUGAAUACGUUCCCGGGCCUUGUACACACCGCCCGUCACACCACGAGAGUUUGUAACACCCGAAGUCGGUGAGGUAACCACUUGUGGAGCCAGCCGCCGAAGGUGGGACAGAUGAUUGGGGUGAAGUCGUAACAAGGUAACC